ensembl:snRNA U5 U5 spliceosomal RNA
AUGCUCUGUUUUCUCUUCAACUUAUAUAAGUUUUUCACCUUUCACUAAAAAUUUCCGUGGAGAGGAACAACUCUGAGUUGAGUCAGUUGUUUGAUGCCUUGUUUUACCAGGGUU